GCGCUCUUGGUGUAACGGUAACACACUCUCUCUCUCUUUUAUGAAUAUGAGGGGUCCCGGGUUCGACUCCCGGAGGGCGCC